GAUGAACGCUGGCGGCGUGCCUAAUACAUGCAAGUCGAGCGAACAGAUAAGGAGCUUGCUCCUUUGACGUUAGCGGCGGACGGGUGAGUAACACGUGGGUAACCUACCUAUAAGACUGGAAUAACUCCGGGAAACCGGGGCUAAUGCCGGAUAACAUUUAGAACCGCAUGGUUCUAAAGUGAAAGAUGGUUUUGCUAUCACUUAUAGAUGGGCCCGCGCCGUAUUAGCUAGUUGGUAAGGUAACGGCUUACCAAGGCAACGAUACGUAGCCGACCUGAGAGGGUGAUCGGCCACACUGGAACUGAGACACGGUCCAGACUCCUACGGGAGGCAGCAGUAGGGAAUCUUCCGCAAUGGGCGAAAGCCUGACGGAGCAACGCCGCGUGAGUGAUGAAGGUCUUCGGAUCGUAAAACUCUGUUAUUAGGGAAGAACAAAUGUGUAAGUAACUGUGCACGUCUUGACGGUACCUUAUCAGAAAGCCACGGCUAACUACGUG
rnacentral:rRNA from 1 species